rnacentral:rRNA from 1 species
UAAGGAAUAUUGGACAAUGGACGCAAGUCUGAUCCAGCCAUGCCGCGUGAAGGAUGAAUGCCCUCUGGGUUGUAAACUUCUUUUAUAGGGGAAGAAAGAUACUUUUUUUAAGGUAGUUGACGGUACCCUAUGAAUAAGCACCGGCUAACUCCGUGCCAGCAGCCGCGGUAAUACGGAGGGUGCAAGCGUUAUCCGGAUUUACUGGGUUUAAAGGGUGCGUAGGCGGGCAUGUAAGUCAGUAGUGAAAUACCGGAGCUUAACUUCGGAACUGCCAUUGAUACUAUAUGUCUUGAAUAUUGUGGAGGUAAGCGGAAUAUGUCAUGUAGCGGUGAAAUGCAUAGAUAUGACAUAGAACACCGAUUGCGGAGGCAGCUUGCUACGCAAAUAUUGACGCUGAGGCACGAAAGCGUGGGGAUCAAACA